rnacentral:rRNA from 1 species
UGGGGAAUAUUGGACAAUGGGCGCAAGCCUGAUCCAGCCAUGCCGCGUGUGUGAAGAAGGCCUUUUGGUUGUAAAGCACUUUAAGCGAGGAGGAGGCUACUUGGAUUAAUACUCUAAGAUAGUGGACGUUACUCGCAGAAUAAGCACCGGCUAACUCUGUGCCAGCAGCCGCGGUAAUACAGAGGGUGCGAGCGUUAAUCGGAUUUACUGGGCGUAAAGCGUGCGUAGGCGGCUUCUUAAGUCGGAUGUGAAAUCCCUGAGCUUAACUUAGGAAUUGCAUUCGAUACUGGGAAGCUAGAGUAUGGGAGAGGAUGGUAGAAUUCCAGGUGUAGCGGUGAAAUGCGUAGAGAUAUGGAGGAAUACCGAUGGCGAAGGCAGCCAUCUGGCCUAAUACUGACGCUGAGGUACGAAAGCAUGGGGAGCAAACAGG